rnacentral:rRNA from 1 species
CAGUAGCCGCGGGAAUACGAAGGGUGCAAGCGUUAAUCGGAUUUACUGGGCGUAAAGCGUGCGUAGGCGGCUUCUUAAGUCGGAUGUGAAAUCCCUGAGCUUAACUUAGGAAUUGCAUUCGAUACUGGGAAGCUAGAGUAUGGGAGAGGAUGGUAGAAUUCCAGGUGUAGCGGUGAAAUGCGUAGAGAUCUGGAGGAAUACCGAUGGCGAAGGCAGCCAUCUGGCCUAAUACUGACGCUGAGGUACGAAAGCAUGGGGAGCAAACAGGAUUAGAUACCCCCGUAGUCCCUGUCUCUUAUAC